AUAUGAUCUUUCACAGUAAUCUUCUUUACACUACUGAAAUCUGUUGUAAUUGAACAAGGCUGCUUAUGACCAAGACCCUGAGCAUCUCAGUUUCUCUCUGAGUUUGGACCUGUUUUGGCUGAGGGAAGGACCAGGAAACCUCGGGAGGAUUCUUCCACUCCAAAUUAUCACAUAUUUUUCAAGGAAAGGUCAUGAAUCCGAGAACAAAUAUGAUACAUAAGGAAAAAUGCCUGUUUCACAUCUUAACUACUUUCAAAUUAUCUAACUUCUACUGUAUAAGAUACUG